rnacentral:rRNA from 1 species
GACCGGAACGUAUUUAUUAGAUAUUAGACCAAUCGCAGCAAUGUGAUUGAGAUGAAUCAAAGUAACUGAUCGAAUCGUAGCUUGCUACGAUAAAUCAUCUAAGUUUCUGCCCUAUCAGCUCUCGAUGGUAGUGUAUUGGACUACCAUGGCAGUCACGGGUAACGGAGAAUUAGGGUUCGAUUCCGGAGAAGGAGCCUGAGAAACGGCUACUACAACUACGGUUCGGCAGCAGGGAAGAAAAUUGGCCAAUCCUAAUUCAGGGAGCCAGUGACAAGAAAUAGCAAGCUGGGAAACUAAGUUUCUACGGCAUUGAAAUGAGAAAAGUGUUAAUCUCUUAGCGAGGAACAAUUGGAGGGCAAGUCAUGGUGCCAGCAGCCGCGGUAAUUCCAGCUCCAAUAGCGUAUAUUAAAGUUGUUGCAGUUAAAAAGCUCGUAGUUGAACUUCUGUUCAGGUUCAUUUCGACUCGUCGAGUGAAACUGGGCAUACGUCUGCAAACUAAAAUCGGCCUUCACUGGUUCGACUUAGGGAGUAGGCAUUUUACUGUGAAAAAAUUAGAGUGUUUCAGGCAGGUUUUAGCCCGAAUACAUUAGCAUGGAAUAAUGGAAUAGGACUAAGUCCAUUUUAUUGGUUCUUGGAUUUGGUAAUGAUUAAUAGGGACAGUUGGGGGCAUUAGUAUUUAAUAGUCAGAGGUGAAAUUCUUGGAUUUAUUAAGGACUAACUAAUGCGAAAGCAUUUGCCAAAGAUGUUUUCAUUAAUCAAGAACGAAAGUUAGGGGAUCAAAGACGAUCAGAUACCGUCGUAGUCUUAACUAUAAACUAUACCGACUCGGGAUCGGCUGGAAUAUAUGUCCAGUCGGCACCGUAUGAGAAAUCAAAGUCUUUGGGUUCUGGGGGAAGUAUGGUACGCAAGUCUGAAACUUAAAGGAAUUGACGGAACAGCACACCAGAAGUGGAACCUGCGGCUUAAUUUGACUCAACACGGGGAAACUCACGAGCGCAAGACAGAGAAGGGAUUGACAGAUUGAGAGCUCUUUCUUGAUUCUUUGGGUGGUGGUGCAUGGCCGUUCUUAGUUGGUGGAGUGAUUUGUCUGG